UGAGUAAUCUGCCUUCAGCUUUGGGAUAACCCUCGGAAACGGGGGCUAAUACCGGGUAUUCACUCUGGGUGGUAUCGUUUGGGGUGGAAAGUUUUUCGGCUGGGGAUGGGCUCGCGGCCUAUCAGCUUGUUGGUGGGGUAAUGGCCUACCAAGGCGGCGACGGGUAGCCGGCCUGAGGAGGGCGACCGGCCACACUGGGACUGAGACACGGCCCAGACUCCGUACGGGAGCA
rnacentral:rRNA from 1 species